CGGGUAGUUCAGCUGGUUAGAACGCUAGCCUGUCACGCUAGAGGUCGUGGGUUCGAACCCCAUCCC
rnacentral:tRNA from 2 species